UGGGGAAUCUUGCGCAAUGGGCGAAAGCCUGACGCAGCGACGCCGCGUGAGUGAUGAAGGCCUUCGGGUUGUAAAGCUCUGUGGGGAGAGACGAAUAAGUGCAAGCUAAUACCUUGCAUGAUGACGGUAUCUCCUUAGCAAGCACCGGCUAACUCUGUGCCAGCAGCCGCGGUAAGACAGAGGGUGCAAACGUUGUUCGGAAUUACUGGGCGUAAAGCGAGUGUAGGCGGUUUCCUAAGUCAGGUGUGAAAGCCUCGGGCUCAACCCGGGAAGUGCACUUGAAACUGGGAGGCUAGAGUACUGGAGAGGUUGGUGGAAUUCUCGGUGUAGAGGUGAAAUUCGUAGAUAUCGAGAGGAACACCGGUGGCGAAGGCGGCCAACUGGACAGAUACUGACGCUGAGACUCGAAAGCGUGGGGAGCAAACA
rnacentral:rRNA from 1 species